rnacentral:rRNA from 1 species
AGCAUAUCAAUAAGCGGAGGAAAAGAAACUAACAAGGAUUCCCUUAGUAGCGGCGAGCGAAGAGGGAAAAGCCCAAAACCGAAUCCUAGUGGCUAGACUACUAGGAAAUGUGGUGUAUGGUUCAUUCUUUACGGCAUGUCGGAGCUGUUCUAAGUCCACUUGAUUGUGGCUUCUAGCCCAAAGAGGGUGUAAGGCCCGUAAGAACAGUACGGCGUGUUAUUGGAAUGUUCCAAGAGUCGGGUUGUUUGGGAUUGCAGCCCAAAGAGGGUGGUAAACUCCAUCCAAGGCUAAAUACGUCACAAGUCCGAUAGCAAACAAGUACCAUGAGGGAAAGUUGAAAAGAACUUUGAAGAGAGAGUUCAAUAGUACGUGAAACCGCCCGGGGUAUAAAGUCGGAAUAACGUCAAAGGAAGCGGAUGCGUGGUUCUUUUCAACCUGUUGAUGCUAGUGUCUUUGUCAUCCUUAUCGGAGGCAAGUUCUGGUGUUUGAUGGGUGGUUGAGACUGCAAAACCGCAGAGUUUCCCGAUCGGUGAUGAAACGUUACAUGAAUUGUGGAAGGUAACUCGCUUCGGUGAGAACUUACAGCCAUGAUGAUUGUAAUAACUAGUCACUGUGUAAAGGAUGAGCCCGUUCUUCACCUCGUGCUGAUUGUUUCUGCCAGUUGAGCGAUAUAUCUUCGGAGAUAUUGUGAUUCUUGGCGGUUGCGAAAGGUAUGAGCAGGCGGUAGUAGUCUGGGUUACCUAGUAGAUGGAGAUUCCGACCCGUCUUGAAACACGGACCAAGGAGUUUAGCAUGUGCGCGAGUCAAUGGGUGUUACGAAACCUAAAGGCGAAGUGAAAGUAAAGGUGCAUUCGGUGUACUGAGGUAAGAUCCUGGUUUCUUUGUGUCAUGCACAGGAGUUGGGCGCAUUACCAGCUCGUCCCAUGCUUUAUUAAGCGGGGCGAAGCAAGAGCGCACAUGCUGAGACCCGAAAGAUGGUGAACUAUGCUUGCGCAGGUUGAAGCCAGAGGAAACUCUGGUGGAGGACCGUAGCGAUUCUGACGUGCAAAUCGAUCGUCAAACGUGAGUAUAGGGGCGAAAGACUAAUCGAACCAUCUAGUAGCUGGUUCCCUCCGAAGUUUCCCUCAGGAUAGCUGGCACUCGGGAAACAAACAGUUUUAUCCGGUAAAGCGAAUGAUUAGAAGUACUGGGGAAAAAUUAUCCUCAGCUUAUUCUCAAACUUUAAAUGGGUGAGAAGCUGAACUCGUUUAAUUAGAGUUCGGCAUUGAAUGUGAGUGCCUAGUGGGCCAUUUUUGGUAAGCAGAACUGGCGCUGUGGGAUGAACCAAACGUUUGGUUAAGGUGCCAAACACGACGCUCAUGAGAUACCACAAAAGGUGUUGGUUGAUAUAGACAGCAGGACGGUGGCCAUGGAAGUCGGUAACCGCUAAGGAGUGUGUAACAACUCACCUGCCGAAUUAACCAGCCCUGAAAAUGGAUGGCGCUGGAGCGUUGGACCUAUACCAGACCGAUAGUGCAUUGCAUCAUUUGCUGUACGUAGUAUCGAGUAGGAGGGUGCCGUGGUGAGCGUUGAAGCUUUAUCGUGAGAUGGAGUGGAGCCGCCACGGGUGCAGAUCUUGGUGGUAGUAGCAAAUAUUCAAGUGAGAACCUUGAA